rnacentral:rRNA from 1 species
AACGCUAGCUACAGGCUUAACACAUGCAAGUCGAGGGGCAGCAUGGUCUUAGCUUGCUAAGGCCGAUGGCGACCGGCGCACGGGUGAGUAACACGUAUCCAACCUGCCGUCUACUCUUGGACAGCCUUCUGAAAGGAAGAUUAAUACAAGAUGGCAUCAUGAGUCCGCAUGUUCACAUGAUUAAAGGUAUUCCGGUAGACGAUGGGGAUGCGUUCCAUUAGAUAGUAGGCGGGGUAACGGCCCACCUAGUCUUCGAUGGAUAGGGGUUCUGAGAGGAAGGUCCCCCACAUUGGAACUGAGACACGGUCCAAACUCCUACGGGAGGCAGCAGUGAGGAAUAUUGGUCAAUGGGCGCAGGCCUGAACCAGCCAAGUAGCGUGAAGGAUGACUGCCCUAUGGGUUGUAAACUUCUUUUAUAAAGGAAUAAAGUCGGGUAUGGAUACCCGUUUGCAUGUACUUUAUGAAUAAGGAUCGGCUAACUCCGUGCCAGCAGCCGCGGUAAUACGGAGGAUCCGAGCGUUAUCCGGAUUUAUUGGGUUUAAAGGGAGCGUAGAUGGAUGUUUAAGUCAGUUGUGAAAGUUUGCGGCUCAACCGUAAAAUUGCAGUUGAUACUGGAUAUCUUGAGUGCAGUUGAGGCAGGCGGAAUUCGUGGUGUAGCGGUGAAAUGCUUAGAUAUCACGAAGAACUCCGAUUGCAAAGGCAGCCUGCUAAGCUGCAACUGACAUUGAGGCUCGAAAGUGUGGGUAUCAAACAGGAUUAGAUACCCUGGUAGUCCACACGGUAAACGAUGAAUACUCGCUGUUUGCGAUAUACGGCAAGCGGCCAAGCGAAAGCGUUAAGUAUUCCACCUGGGGAGUACGCCGGCAACGGUGAAACUCAAAGGAAUUGACGGGGGCCCGCACAAGCGGAGGAACAUGUGGUUUAAUUCGAUGAUACGCGAGGAACCUUACCCGGGCUUAAAUUGCAGAUGAAUUACGGUGAAAGCCGUAAGCCGCAAGGCAUCUGUGAAGGUGCUGCAUGGUUGUCGUCAGCUCGUGCCGUGAGGUGUCGGCUUAAGUGCCAUAACGAGCGCAACCCUUGUUGUCAGUUACUAACAGGUUCCGCUGAGGACUCUGACAAGACUGCCAUCGUAAGAUGUGAGGAAGGUGGGGAUGACGUCAAAUCAGCACGGCCCUUACGUCCGGGGCUACACACGUGUUACAAUGGGGGGUACAGAGGGCCGCUACCACGCGAGUGGAUGCCAAUCCCAAAAACCUCUCUCAGUUCGGACUGGAGUCUGCAACCCGACUCCACGAAGCUGGAUUCGCUAGUAAUCGCGCAUCAGCCACGGCGCGGUGAAUACGUUCCCGGGCCUUGUACACACCGCCCGUCAAGCCAUGGGAGCCGGGGGUACCUGAAGUGCGUAACCGCGAGGAGCGCCCUAGGGUAAAACUGGUGACUGGGGCU